rnacentral:rRNA from 1 species
GACGAACGCUGGCGGCGUGCUUAACACAUGCAAGUCGAACGGUAAGGCCCUUCGGGGUACACGAGUGGCGAACGGGUGAGUAACACGUGGGUGAUCUGCCCCGCACUUCGGGAUAAGCCUGGGAAACUGGGUCUAAUACCGGAUAGGACCACUGCCUGCAUGGGUGGUGGUGGAAAGCUUUUGCGGUGUGGGAUGGGCCCGCGGCCUAUCAGCUUGUUGGUGGGGUGAUGGCCUACCAAGGCGACGACGGGUAGCCGGCCUGAGAGGGUGACCCGCCACACUGGGACUGAGAUACGGCCCAGACUCCGACGGGAGGCAGCAGUGGGGAAUAUUGCACAAUGGGCGCAAGCCUGAUGCAGCGACGCCGCGUGAGGGAUGACGGCCUUCGGGUUGUAAACCUCUUUCAGCACCGACGAAGCGCAAGUGACGGUAGGUGCAGAAGAAGGACCGGCCAACUACGUGCCAGCCGCCGCCGUAA